CGGUAAUUCCAGCUCCAAUAGCGUAUACUAAAGUUGUUGCAGUUAAAAAGCUCGUAGUUGGAUUUCUGCGGGGACGGAGCGGCCGGACGCAACUUGCGUCUCGAGCUAGCGCUUUCCCCGCAUCCUGCCGCGAACCGUGCUACCAUUAGUUUGGUGGCGCUGGGGAUCGGCUCGAUUACUUUGAGAAAAAUAGAGUGUUCAAAGCAGGCCACACGCCUUGAAUAAGUUAGCAUGGAAUAAUGACUAAGGACUUUGGUUCUUUUCGUUGGUGUUCGGGACUGAAGUAAUGAUUGAUAGGGACAGUCGGGGCGGUCCGUAUUCCAAGGCGAGAGGUGAAAUUCUUAGACCUUCGGAAGACGAACAGCUGCGAAAGCGUUCCGCAAGGAUGUUCCCUUUGAUCAAGAACGAAAGUUGGGGGAUCGAAGACGAUCAGAUACCGUCGUAGUCUCAACUAUAAACUAUACCAGCUAGGGAUCGGCCAACGUUUAAUUAUUCGACUUGGUCGGCACCUUAUGAGAAAUCAAAGCAUCUGGGUUCCGGGGGGGAGUACGGUCGCAAGGCUGAAACUUAAAGGAAUUGACGGAAGGGCACCACCAGGCGUGGAGCCUGUGGCUUAAUUUGACUCAACACGGGAAAACUUACCAGGUCCAGACAUAGGAAGGAUUGACAGAUUGAUAGCUCUUUCUUGAUUCUGUGGGUGGUGGUGCAUGGCCGUUUUUAGUCGGUGAAGUGAUUUGUCUGCUUAAUUGCGUUAACGGACGAGACCCCAGCCUGCUAAAUAGCGCGGCCGAGCUUUGCUCGGUACGAGCUUUUUAGAGGGACCAUGAUGCGCGAUAGCACAAGGAAGUUUGGGGCAACAACAGGUCUGUGAUGCCCUUAGAUGUUCUGGGCCGCACACGGGCUACACUGGCGCCUGCAACGAGCAUAUCAGCUGGCCCGAGAGGGUCUUGGCUAAUCUUUGGAACCGGCGCCGUGCUUGGGAUUGACCAUUGCAAUUGUUGGUCAUGCAACGAGGAAUGCCUUGUAAACGCGAGUCAUCAGCUCGCAUUGAAUACGUCCCUGCCCUUUGUACACACCGCCCGUCGCUCCUACCGAUGAAUGUUCCGAUGAAAUUUUCGGAGAGCGCCGGAGAACGGGGCUCUGCCCUGCAGAACUGGAGGCUCAAAGUCACUUAAACCUGAACAUUUCGAGGAAGGAGAAGUCGUAACAAGGUAACC
rnacentral:rRNA from 1 species